rnacentral:rRNA from 1 species
AUUGAACGCUGGCGGCAUGCCUUACACAUGCAAGUCGAACGGCAGCGCGGGGCAACCUGGCGGCGAGUGGCGAACGGGUGAGUAACAUAUCGGAACAUACCCUAGAGUGGGGGAUAACGUAGCGAAAGUUACGCUAAUACCGCAUACGCACUAAGGUGGAAAGUGGGGGAUCGUUCGGGACCUCAUGCUCAUGGAGUGGCCGAUAUCUGAUUAGCUAGUUGGUGAGGUAAAGGCUCACCAAGGCGACGAUCAGUAGCUGGUUUGAGAGAACGACCAGCCACACUGGAACUGAGACACGGUCCAGACUCCUACGGGAGGCAGCAGU